AGAGUUUGAUCCGUGGCUCGAGGACAACGCUGGCGACGUGCUUAACACAUGCAAGUCGAACGGAACCUUCGGGUUUAGUGGCGAACGGGUGAGUAAAGCGCAGGUAAUCUGCCGCAAAGUCGGGGACAACGUUCCGAAAGGGACGCUAAUACCGGAUGUUGUGCGGAGUUCGCAUGGAUUCUGCACCAAAGAUUUAUCGCUUUGCGAGGAGCCUGCGUCCGAUUAGGCAGUUGGUGGGGUAAAGGCCUACCAAACCGACGAUCGGUAGCCGGUCUGAGAGGAUGAACGGCCACAAUGGAACUGAGACACGGUCCAUACUCCUACGGGAGGCAGCAGUGGGGAAUAUUCCACAAUGGGCGAAAGCCUGAUGGAGCGACGCCGCGUGAGUGAAGAAGGGCUUCGGCUCGUAAAGCUCUUUUCUCAAGGACGAAUUAGCCUUCGGGGCAGUUGACGGUACUUGGGGAAUAAGCCACGGCUAACUACGUGCC
rnacentral:rRNA from 1 species